UACGUAGGGGGCAAGCGUUGUCCGGAAUCAUUGGGCGUAAAGAGCGUGUAGGCGGCUUGGUAAGUCCGCUGUGAAAGUCCAGGGCUCAACCCUGGAAUGCCGGUGGAAACUGUCAAGCUUGAGUCCGGAAGAGGCGAGUGGAAUUCCUGGUGUAGCGGUGAAAUGCGCAGAUAUCAGGAGGAACACCAAUGGCAAAGGCAGCUCGCUGGGACGGUACUGACGCUGAGACGCGAAAGCGUGGGGAGCAAACAGG
rnacentral:rRNA from 1 species